rnacentral:rRNA from 1 species
CCUACGGGAGGCAGCAGUUGGGAAUCUUAGGCAAUGGGCGAAAGCCUGACCUAGCGACGCCGCGUGAGGGAAGAAGGCCUUCGGGUCGUAAACCUCUGUCAUGGGGGACGAAGAAAGUGACGGUACCCCAGGAGGAAGCCCCUGCUAACUACGUGCCAGCAGCCGCGGUAAUACGUAGGGGGCGAGCGUUGUCCGGAUUUACUGGGCGUAAAGGGCGAGUAGGCGGUUUGUUAAGUCAGGUGUGAAAUUCCAGGGCUCAACCCUGGAACUGCGCUUGAAACUGGCAGGCUAGAGGACAGGAGAGGGAAGCGGAAUUCCCGGUGUAGCGGUGAAAUGCGUAGAUAUCGGGAGGAAUACCAGUGGCGAAGGCGGCUUCCUGGACUGCACCUGACGCUGAGGAGCGAAAGCUGGGGGAGCAAACAGGAUUAGAUACCCGAGU